GUUGUAAUAGUGUGAAAAACACUUAAUUAGUAGUAGUGUAAAUUUUACAUUUUGCACCCUACUGUAUUACCCUAUAAAGGGCCCUUUUAUGUACUUUGAUUUUAAUGAAUAAAAUAAUCAUUUUCCCCUAAAUUCAUCCCCUCCCUCACACUCACGACGAUUGCUGAAAAGCAAUCCGUAACCGCCGGUCACCCAUCUCCAUCCGGACUUCGCGCGAUUAAACCGCCGAUCCAUAUUGUUCUGUUCUACCAUCCUGCUCCUGCCCGACAAGUCCUUCAUCGUACUUUUCAGAUCACCCAGCUCUCGUCUCCAACUCUACGCAUCUCUUUCCGGCAAGUUCUCCGAUCUGCCGUCCUGUUUCCUGUCCGGCGGGCUCUUCGUCGCGAUUCUUAGAUCGCACUGUUUUUUUUGUCUCAUCGUCUAGAUCGUAUUCCGAUCUUAGAUCGGAGACACUAGAGCUCCACAGGUCCAUUUAUUCCAUAUCGGAGAUUGGAAUAAUUCCUUGAUACUCCUAGUUUGUAUCAUUGGACCAAUAACAGGCCGAUCGAGCCCGACCGUUCACUUGGCAGAAUCUAGGCCUAGGUAGUCUAAGAGGCUAUAAAUAACAUUGUAGGACUCCUAGCAGAGGGUCCAAUAGACUGUAUAGUUUGUCCGUAAUUGAAGAAGUGAGAAUGGAAUCAUGACUCAACUAAUUAGUAAUUACAACUAAAACUACAAAUCCAAUAUUGGUGGGUGUUGAUUUUCAUAAAUCUACCGACGCAGGACUCUCAGCUGAUUCAAGAGAGUACAGGUAAAUUGUCACUAUUGUUAAGUCUUAUAUUCUAUAUAAAUUAGGGAAAAUAUAUAUAUAUGGAGAGAGUAAUUAUUACAUGCGUUGAGUUCAAAAUGUGUCAAAUUAAUCUUGUUCAUUAAAUCGACUUUGGGUAUAUUAGUGUUUUUUGCAAUACAUUAUUUAUUAAUGUCUUGUUUAAUAUAUUAUUUUAGUCCACGAAUAUAAUUUGCG
rnacentral:lncRNA from 1 species